UACGUAGGGUGCAAGCGUUAAUCGGAAUUACUGGGCGUAAAGCGUGCGCAGGCGGUUUUGCAAGACAGUUGUGAAAUCCCCGGGCUCAACCUGGGAACUGCAUCUGUGACUGCAUAGCUAGAGUACGGUAGAGGGGGAUGGAAUUCCGCGUGUAGCAGUGAAAUGCGUAGAUAUGCGGAGGAACACCGAUGGCGAAGGCAAUCCCCUGGACCUGUACUGACGCUCAUGCGCGAAAGCGUGGGGAGCAAACAGG
rnacentral:rRNA from 1 species